AGACCCUGUGACUCACAGGGCCUUGGGCAUCCUGCAUCUCAGGAAUGCCAGUGUUCAUGGACAGCAGACUGCCCGAGGUGUAAUCGGUGUCUUCCCGGUGCUAGCUGUUUACUUGCACACAUCUAGGCAAACUUCUCAGCCUCCCCUGGCCUCCAUUACAGGAAAACAGGAAUUCUCUCCUGCCCCUACCUCACAGGAUGGGCCUAGGACCAGCUGAUGUGCUGGUUAACACAGACCUUUCCAGAGAGACGUGCUCAUCAGAUACAAGGCAGGCAUAUCCUCAUCAUUUUGAGUACAUUGACAAUUAGCCCAAGGAGAACCCGCAGGGCUGGGACCACCCUAAUGUGGCACAAAGGGAAGCCAGUGGAGAGCCAACUGAGAGCUCUGGCCUGUCAGGUUGUAUAGAAAUGUCACAGAGAGAGUAGCUCUCAUAGCUGACAACACCCUGUGGGGGGCUGGGGCUGAGGCAAGGAACAGAGAGGAGAAACUCCUUAAGCAAAGGAUCUAGUAGUGUCUUUCUCUCAAGACAGGCCUUUCAAGGAGCAACUUGCUCCACACCAGACUUUUUCUCUUUUCCAAAAGCUCAAGCUCCUCUUCCUCACGAUGACAGCCAUGGUGGUCUCCAGCUGACACUGUAUUCACUCUAGGAAUGACUUCAAGAGCCAUUUCAGUGGAAAAGUUUGAAAAUCAGUGACUUGAUGAAUAAGCAAAGGGACAAAGCAACUGGCAGUGACCAUCUUAGUACUGCAUAUUGAAUCUUUACACAAAUAUCAGACUGCUGUUUUUAUGGACAGGAAAGACACUGAAAGAGAGCAAAAGCUGUGUGUGAUGAACAGCAGUGGCCCUGGAGCCAUACACUGGAUUCAAGUGUCCAGGUAGACAGUGGAUCUGUCCUGGCCAAUGCUUUUCAUUAGCCCCUGGCCAUCAGCAUCAAGAAAUCAACACUCGUUCUUGAGGGAGCCAGCUGCCUGGUUGAGAAUCUCAGGUUGGAUAGAGGGUGAGAUCAUGGAUCACGGAGCAUGCUUCUUGGAAGUCUUCACACUUUGCAGGAUUCUUGUCUAUGGCACACUCAGCGUGAGUUCACUGUGGUCUCCCCAGUAGUGGGAGAUGAUGUGAUCAUCAUGAAACCAUCCCACACCAAGGAGGACCUGGAGACAUAAGGAACAUAAGCAAGAAUAUGAGAAAGGCCCUUCCACGCAAGACCCUUGGUCCCCUCUCUGGUCCUUGUCAGGCCUAAUCAGAGCAGCCUCCACAUAUUCAUGCCCUUCAGAAUGACCUGGGUACAGAGCGGGGAGCACUUAGAUGUGUAGCCCUCUAGUGCCCAUAGGACGUGUGAGCCAGAAAAGCCCAUUUCUGCAUAAGUGGAACUGCCUUAGGAGUUUACUCUCAACUUGUCAUCAUUGUCAUCAUCAUCAUCUUCUUCAUCUUCAUAGCACUUUGCAAUAUGUCUGCACUUCUUAGCACUUAACUACUUAACAUUUUUGUUUGGUGUGUGUGCACAUAUGUGUGUAUGUGAAUUUAAAAUCUAUCUCCCCUACUAGAAAGUAAGCUUCAUGAGAACUAAGUCUUUGUAUGCUUUGCUCAUUACUGGUACUCCGUGCCUGGAACCAUGUUUGGACUCCGGAGGCAUGCAAUAAAUACUUUGUUGUAGUUGUUGUUGUUGUUUUG
rnacentral:lncRNA from 1 species